CACAGCCGAGGGGAGGGGUGCUGGGGCCUGCACCGGCAGGCCGGGAAAAUGUGCAAGGGGGAAACCCAAGGAUGUUACCCCAAUGAAGAAAUUAGUCAGCGCUGCUUUUUUUUUUUUUUUUUUUCCUUUAUUAUUAUUUAAUUUUGAGAGGUAGCUUUGUGGACCUUGGUAGAGAGGGGCUUUAAGGGGAGAUGUGUAAGGUGUUAUGCUGUGAGUAAUUCUGUCCCAGUUCCUCUCCCCUCCCCAAUCCAAAAGCCAUGAAGUCGUGCUCCAGGCGUGUUGUGGAUGAGCCCCCCCAGGGCCGAGGCCCGUCCAGCGCAGCAUCCCCUUGCUCGCCGUGGUCCUGCAGCACUGGUGGCACCGUGCCCUGCCCGGCCUCUGAGCCCUCCUAGGGAGGAAACACUGUAUUGUCCAUAGCGCUCCGAAGACUAAACCCUUUUGGGAUAACCACAGUAAUAAACUGUGAAUGGUAUUUUAUAAGUAAGUGUAGAUAUGUAUGCCGUUCUUUUGAGGUAAGGUACUAUGACAUAUGUAGCAUAAACUGGUACUGCUGUUAAAUGGGUCGAUUAUUAACUGAGCAGCUGUGUAGGGGUAGCUAACUUUGAAUGCACUAAACCACUGUUCCUUUGGAGACAGGGACUGAAGGGUGUUGCUGGGUACUUGUCUUUUUAUGGUGGGGUAUGUUAAGAGGAAAAUGCAGGUCAAUGAAAACAUAACUUUUAUAGCAUUUUAAUGUUGGAAAUUAGUACAUAAUCAAUACAUUAUUCACAACAGUUUUAAUCCUUUUUUUUUUUUUUACCAGUUUUUGCAAUUUCCCCAACAUGGUAAGCUGGAAUUUCUAAAGAGGUAGCAGCCCUAGUGUAGGGAGGGAAAACCAAGGCGAAAAAGAAGUCUCUUUCUAAAAACAGAGAUACUCAAAAUGCAUUUCCCGACCUGGUGGUCUUGACCUCUCAACUUUUCUGAUGAGGCUCAGAUUCCCAACCCUGGAGGAUGACAUUACUAUCCCCCCAAAAUGAAAGGCCGAGCCCCACCUGGGAGGCAACGCAGGGACAGCCCCAAGCUCCUGUGAGACGCCCCGCUGGUGGCGCGGGGGUAGCUGCUUCCCCUGGACAGGCUCGCUGCAGCCGGCCUGGCUGCCUGCCGGGAGGCGGGCGAGAGGCAGAGGUGGGGAGGGUCUGGGUUUUAGCCAAUUCUCCAUGUUCUCAAAGAGCAGAGAGACAAAACAACAACACUUCUGCCUUAUGAAGUACCUUCGGAAGAAGAGAAGCCAUCAGCAUGUUGGGGAAAACACUCAUUUCUUGCAAAGUGAUGCAUUCAGAGUUAGCUGCCUUUCUGAAACAAAAAUAAAAAAAUACAAAAACUACUGUAUGUUACUUUGAAAAUGUGAAUAGUAUUUUUAUAGCUUGUUAAAGACACAGCUAGUUGCAUUUGUAAAUAAGGAUAAUGUUGCUUUUAUUUUCCUUGUGGACACCAUUACUUGGAACAUAAUUGUCCUUAGGGUUGAUUUGUAUAUAGGUAAUUUGCUUGUGAUUUAAGCCGCUCCUCCCCUUUUCUUUCUCUUCCCUUCCCACCCUCUGGUUUUGGUUAGAAGUACCCAUUUUUGGCAUUCUGUGUGAUUCUGUGUUUUAGCACUAUUGUGGUGUGUUCAGACUUUCUGCACUUGCUUACACAGUAGGGUAUGCCAAUUGUGUGUGGCGUAAUGUUACUUUAACCUUUUGUUUCUCAUACUUUAGCUAUCGAGGAUUAUGCACUGUUAAAAUACUUACUGACCUGGGUUAAUAUUAGGUACAUAUUUUAGCAUAAUUUCCCUUCUUUUCAUGGUUUCUUUUUUCUUUUUUCCUUCCCUCCCCUUUUGUCUUGUUUGGAGGCUGGGGAGAAACCUGUGGAUCUUCUCUUUGUGUGGUUAUAUUUUCCCCCCGUGUGCAGUCCUGAGUUUCUCCUCAUGGUCCUUGGGGUAGAGCUUUAUCUGUUUGUUGAGGCAAAUGUAGACUGCGACCCACCUUGCAUCAACCCACGCUCAUCCCAGCUGAACAAUUUGAAAACUGUUCUGCCUUUUUGUUACAUGAAUCUGUCAGAAAUAUAUUUUUAAUUUAAUAUAAAUGAAAUUCAAUAAAAUAUGAAACAAA